UGGUGUGCUAGAGUCCUCGGAGA
rnacentral:miRNA from 1 species